rnacentral:rRNA from 1 species
UACGGAGGGGGCUAGCGUUGUUCGGAAUUACUGGGCGUAAAGCGCGCGCAGGCGGUCUUCCAAGUCAGUGGUGAAAGCCCGGAGCUCAACUCCGGAACUGCCAUUGAAACUGUUAGACUUGAGUAUGAGAGAGGUGAGUGGAAUUCCCAGUGUAGAGGUGAAAUUCGUAGAUAUUGGGAAGAACACCGGUGGCGAAGGCGGCAUCCUGGACCAACACUGACGCUGAUGAGCGAAAGCCAGGGGAGCAAACGGG